rnacentral:lncRNA from 1 species
UGGAUCUAGUUGCUGUGGAACUGAAAACCAAAGGACAGAAACAUUAAAUGAGAGAUGGAUGAAUAGAUACAUUCAGAAGUCUGUUGGCUGCGCUUAAAGAAACUGAAAGUCUUAAACAACAGCUCGCUUUUCUCCUACUGAGAGAAAGGGAAAAAAAAACGUUACCAGUAAAACCAAGUGGAGACAAGAUGAGACUGUGACCCUGUAUAUUCUGUAACGGUACUUGCACUUUCAUGU